rnacentral:rRNA from 1 species
AUACGGAGGGGGUUAGCGUUGUUCGGAAUUACUGGGCGUAAAGCGUACGUAGGCGGAUCAGAAAGUAAGGGGUGAAAUCCCAGGGCUCAACCCUGGAACUGCCUCUUAAACUCCUGGUCUUGAGUUCGAGAGAGGUGAGUGGAAUUCCAAGUGUAGAGGUGAAAUUCGUAGAUAUUUGGAGGAACACCAGUGGCGAAGGCGGCUCACUGGCUCGAUACUGACGCUGAGGUACGAAAGUGUGGGGAGCAAACAGGAUUAGAUACCCUAGUAGUCC